rnacentral:rRNA from 1 species
UACGUAGGGGGCAAGCGUUGUCCGGAAUUAUUGGGCGUAAAGGGCUCGCAGGCGGUUUCUUAAGUCUGAUGUGAAAUCUUGUGGCUUAACCACAAGCGGUCAUUGGAAACUGGGAGACUUGAGUGCAGAAGAGGAGAGUGGAAUUCCACGUGUAGCGGUGAAAUGCGUAGAGAUGUGGAGGAACACCAGUGGCGAAGGCGACUCUCUGGUCUGUAACUGACGCUGAGGAGCGAAAGCGUGGGGAGCGAACAGGAUUAGAUA